GAGAGAGAGAGAGAGAGAGAGAGAGAGAGAGAGAGAGAGAGAGAGAGAGAGGGAGAGCGAGAGCGAGAGCGAGAGAUGGGCGUGUUGACAAAGGAAAUGGAGGCCCUCAGAAAGCUGUCAAUCACACAGAACAGGUGUGGCCACAUCCAACAGUCACUGCACCAAUCGAAGGAUGUGUGCGUGUGAUGAGGGAUUAAAUAGUAAAAUUGGAAGGAAGAGGAAAAACCCUUGACAGAUAAGAGGAAUCGUACCCACGAGCAGACAGACUGUCAGAUACUGACAGAUGGAGACAUGCUGUCUGUCUGUGUGUGUCUGUGUGUGUGUGUAUGUGUCUGUACUCAAUCUGCACUGCCAUUUAAGUCUUUGUGUGCCCAAUUUGCAAAAAUGUGUGACUGUCGAUCUGUGUGCAGAUGAUUGGGUCUCUGUGGACAUUGUGUGUGCAUGCUUGCAUGAGCAUGCAGGAAAUGUGUGUGUGUGUGGGGGGUGUAUGUGUGUGUGUGUGUAUGUGUGCAUGUGUGUGCGUGCAUGUGUGCUGGAAAUGGGAAGGCUGCAGGAGAGGGGGUGUGUGUGUGCAUGUGUGUGCGUGUGUGCACGUGCGUGUGCUGGAGAUUGGAGUGGAGAUGUUGACAGCGGAAGAGGUCUCUAGGGAGGAGGAGAAGGGAAGCUAGAGACGGGGAGAUAAGAGAGGGACGGAUAUAGAAAGAGAUACAGUCACGGAUACACAUGCAGGCAGGAGGGAGAUGCAAUGGCCAACACAUGAGAGAGAUCAACAGAGAGAGGCCGAGGAAGAGAGAGAGACGAAGGGAGAAUUAGAGAGACAUUCAGAGAGGGACGGAGGUGGAGAGAGAUGGAGGGAGAGGUAGAGAGAUACAUUCAGAGAGAGACGGAGGGGGAGAGAGAGGUAGAGAGAGAGCUAGAGAGAGGGGGUGGGAGAGAUGGAAGGAGAGGUAGAGAGAGAGACAUUCAGAGAGAGACGGAGGGAGAGAGAUGGAGGGAGAGGAAGAGAGAGAGCUACAGAGAUGGCGG
ensembl:lncRNA